UGCAGUCGAGCGGACAGAUGGGAGCUUGCUCCCUGAUGUUAGCGGCGGACGGGUGAGUAACACGUGGGUAACCUGCCUGUAAGACUGGGAUAACUCCGGGAAACCGGGGCUAAUACCGGAUGGUUGUUUGAACCGCAUGGUUCAGACAUAAAAGGUGGCUUCGGCUACCACUUACAGAUGGACCCGCGGCGCAUUAGCUAGUUGGUGAGGUAACGGCUCACCAAGGCGACGAUGCGUAGCCGACCUGAGAGGGUGAUCGGCCACACUGGGACUGAGACACGGCCCAGACUCCUACGGGAGGCAGCAGUAGGGAAUCUUCCGCAAUGGACGAAAGUCUGACGGAGCAACGCCGCGUGAGUGAUGAAGGUUUUCGGAUCGUAAAGCUCUGUUGUUAGGGAAGAACAAGUGCCGUUCAAAUAGGGCGGCACCUUGACGGUACCUAACCAGAAAGCCACGGCUAACUACGUGCCAGCAGCCGCGGUAAUACGUAGGUGGCAAGCGUUGUCCGGAAUUAUUGGGCGUAAAGGGCUCGCAGGCGGUUUCUUAAGUCUGAUGUGAAAGCCCCCGGCUCAACCGGGGAGGGUCAUUGGAAACUGGGGAACUUGAGUGCAGAAGAGGAGAGUGGAAUUCCACGUGUAGCGGUGAAAUGCGUAGAGAUGUGGAGGAACACCAGUGGCGAAGGCGACUCUCUGGUCUGUAACUGACGCUGAGGAGCGAAAGCGU
rnacentral:rRNA from 1 species